GCAAAUUCUUUCUUUAGCCCACUGAGCCAAACUGACCAACCCUACAUCUAUCACUUGCAAACCCCUUUUGAGCUUAAUAAUUCAUUUGAAUUCACUUAUAAUUUUGCCUAGAUUUGAGCCGUCCCGGUCAAAACUGAACUUAAGGGGCAAAAGAAAGGGAGAUAGUGUAGUGGAGCCUAUGGGCAGGACUAGUGAAAAAAUUGCAAAAUGGGACGUCUAAUCCCAAAAUAGAAAGAGUCCAUAAAAAGAAAAAGAAAUAAAAAAAAGGAGGAGAAAAAGAAAAAAAAAGAGGAAGAAUAAAGGGAAGAAUGUGCUUAAGCCCGCAAGAAUAGGCAAGGAUCAAAAGAAUCUGGGAAGUCUGUUGCCCAGAAUGAAGUUCAGAAUGACCUUAGCCUCGUACCAAAAAUUCUCACCUUAUGCCUUAAGCCACAUUACAACCCAUGAAAGACCUAAUGAGAUGCACCUAGGGCUUUGACUAAAGGGGAAGACAAUAGAAGAUAGGCAAGCUUAUGGUCAGAACCCAAUCGAGAUGUCCGGAGUGUAAACACGAGCCUAAACACUUGAGAGAAAGAGUGAAGGGGAGGAACAUCCUUAUGCCCAGAACCCGAUCUUGACU
rnacentral:lncRNA from 1 species